rnacentral:rRNA from 1 species
UCACUUACAGAUGGACCCGCGGCGCAUUAGCUAGUUGGUGGGGUAAUGGCUCACCAAGGCGACGAUGCGUAGCCGACCUGAGAGGGUGAUCGGCCACACUGGGACUGAGACACGGCCCAGACUCCUACGGGAGGCAGCAGUAGGGAAUCUUCCGCAAUGGACGAAAGUCUGACGGAGCAACGCCGCGUGAGUGAUGAAGGUUUUCGGAUCGUAAAGCUCUGUUGUUAGGGAAGAACAAGUGCGAGAGUAACUGCUCGCACCUUGACGGUACCUAACCAGAAAGCCACGGCUAACUACGUGCCAGCAGCCGCGGUAAUACGUAGGUGGCAAGCGUUGUCCGGAAUUAUUGGGCGUAAAGGGCUCGCAGGCGGUUUCUUAAGUCUGAUGUGAAAGCCCCCGGCUCAACCGGGGAGGGUCAUUGGAAACUGGGAAACUUGAGUGCAGAAGAGGAGAGUGGAAUUCCACGUGUAGCGGUGAAAUGCGUAGAGAU